UGGUGUAGCUCAGUAGGUAGAGCAUUUCCCUCGUAAUGAAAAGGUCGUGGGUUCGAAUCCCUUCACC
rnacentral:tRNA from 1 species